GAAGUAGUGCAAACAGAAGACUUGGUCUGAGUGUAGAGUCCAUGUGUGAGCAGUCAGAGUGCCCAUGCUGACCCCGUCCACCACCAAAAAACCAACAAUGUGAGCAUAAACUGGACCACAGAGCAUGGAAGGAGGUGAACUCGUCUCACGUGGAUGGCCAGGUGUGUGUGUGCAUUGCUUACCUGGGGAACACCUGACACCAGGAAGAAGGAUAAUGCACUAAUGCACAGAAACGGUUUGAGGAGCACAACAACCAGUUUGAGGUGUUGACUUGGCCUCCAGAUUCCCCGGAUCUCGGUCCAGUGGAGCAUCUGUGGGAUGUGCUGGACACACAGUCCGAUCCACGGAGGCCAACCUCACAGCUUACAGGACUGACAGGACCUGCUGCUGACACGUUGGUGCAGAUACCACAGCACGCCCUCAGGGGUCGAGCGGAGGCCACGCCUUGAUGGGUCAGGGGGAGCGACGCAGGUGAUCAUAAUGUUAUGUCUGCUAAAAGUUUAUAUCUGUAUAAACGUUUGUUGUUACUCCCCAGCCGCAGCCUGAUCCUUCCCUCCCUCCAUACUGAAUCUCAGUUUAACUGUCUGUAACCUGUUGCAGUUCCACCACUAACAGGCAGGGGGCAGCACAGGCGAUAAACGAGCAAACGCAUCUUUAAAUGAGCAGCUUUGUUGUUGCUUAGAGAAGGAAAGAGGAGUGGUUCCUCUCCACUGGGUGAUGACAUCAUCGCACCUGUGAGGAGACAGGUGAGCGAACGUGCCGACGCUCCCCAAUUAUCACAAGUGACACCGUGUCAGCAAAUUAGAUCGUUGCUCAACGACGCCUGGAGUGUCGGUGAGCAGCGGGAGGCCCGGCAGACCUCCAGCAGCAUCCAUCUGACACACACACACACACACACACACACACACACACACACACACACACACACACACACACACACACCCCUUCCCUGCUAUUCCUUUUAUGUCUCUCACGCACACGAACACACACUCAUGGACAUUACCUGCCUCUCAGCCCAAGUUACCUUCAUGUGAUUUAUGACUUAUUGCUGUCAUUAAUCAGCACACAUGUGGCUCUGCUGGCUGUCUGAAAUAUUACACAACUUGUGCGAGGCCUUUAAAUGUCUGAUGUGAAGCAGGUCGACUCGUUUGGUGCUGCAGACAAUUAAAGAAUAAAGAAAACACACCU
ensembl:lncRNA